rnacentral:rRNA from 1 species
GAUGAACGCUGGCGGCGUGCCUAACACAUGCAAGUCGAGCGAAGCGGGGACGGGUGAGUAACAUGUGGGUAACUUCCUAUAAGACUGGGAUAACUUCGGGAAACCGGACUAAACCCCAACACUUAUAGAUGGAUCCGAGCUGCAGUAGCUAGUGGGUAAGGUAAUGGCUUACCAAGGCAACGAUGCAUAGCAGACUUGAGAGGGUGAGCGGCCACACUGGAACUGAGACACGGUCCAGACUCCUACGGGAGGCAGCAGUAGGGAAUCUUCCGCAAUGGGCGAAAGCCUGACGGAGCAACGCCGCGUGAAUGAUGAAGGUCUUCGGAUCGUAAAACUCUGUUAUUAGGGAAGCGGUACCUAAUCAGAAAGCCACGGCUAACUACGUGCCAGCAGCCGCGGUAAUUC